CCUACGGGAGGCAGCAGUGAGGAAUAUUGGUCAAUGGGCGAGAGCCUGAACCAGCCAAGUCGCGUGAGGGAGUACUGCCCUAUGGGUUGUAAACCUCUUUUGUCGGGGAGCAAAAGCCGGACGUGUCCGGCUGUGAGAGUACCCGAAGAAAAAGCAUCGGCUAACUCCGUGCCAGCAGCCGCGGUAAUACGGAGGAUGCGAGCGUUAUCCGGAUUUAUUGGGGUUAAAGGGUGCGCAGGCGGAUUUUUAAGUAAGCGGUCAAAUCGUGGGGCUCAACCCCAUCCAGCCGUUGAAACUGGGGAUCUAGAGUGUGCGAGAGGUAUGCGGAAUGCGUGGUGUAGCGGUGAAAUGCAUAGAUAUCACGCAGAACCCCGAUUGCGAAGGCAGCAUACCGGUGCACAACUGACGCUCAGGCACGAAAGCGUGGGUAUCGAACAGGAUUAGAUACCCUGGUAGUC
rnacentral:rRNA from 1 species